AUGGUUUGCAGGUGUCAGUCAGAUGGUGGUUGCACACCCUUUAGACACGGUGAAAGUUCGUCUCCAAACUCUACCUCACUUGAAUUUCGUUUCUGUCUUAGUCAACACAGCAAAAGUAGAAGGGGUUCGUGGAUUUUAUCGCGGAUUCCUUUUCCCAUCUUAACCGCUGGUGUUCUGAACUCGGCUUUCUUUGGAGUUUACGGUAACACAUUACGUAUGCUAGAGACAUAUCGGGGUGCAUCAAAUCAUCAAAAUUAUGUUGUGAUGGAGGCCCUGCCUAUCCUCUGUGGCAUUUGGACUGCUUUACGGCUGGAUGCAUUGCCGGCACUGCAUGUGUAACUCUCUCUACACCAAUCGAAUUGAUUAAAACAAAAUUACAAGCAACUGCCAUAUUUGCCAAAGAAGCCAAUGAGCCCUUGAAACCAGUCGAAUGUGUCAAGCUAAUGUACAGACAUAAUGGACUUAAGGGUCUCUUCAAGGGUUUUCAUAUCAUGGUUUUACG
rnacentral:lncRNA from 1 species